rnacentral:rRNA from 1 species
GACGAACGCUGGCGGCGUGCUUAACACAUGCAAGUCGAACGGAACGGCCCUGCCUUUGUGGGGUGCUCGAGUUGCGAACGGGUGAGUAACACGUGAGUACCCUGCCCUUGCCUUUGGGAUAUCUUCAGGAAACUGGGUCUAAUACCGGAUAGGAUCUCCUGCUGCAUGGUGGGGGUUGGAAAGUUUCGACGGUUGGGGAUGUACUCGCGGCUUAUCAGCUUGUUGGUGGGGUAGUGGCUUAGCAAGGCCUUGACCGGUAGCAGGCCUGAGCGGGUCAGCGGACCCAUUGCAACGGAGAUAAGGCACAGACUACUCCGGGAGGUAGGAGUGCGGAAUAUUGCACAAUAGGCGGAAGGAAGAUCCAGCAAAGCAGCGCGCGGGAUGAGGGCCAUCGGUUUGUGAAGCGAUUUCGCCUGUGACGAAACGUGAGUGACGGUAAUGGGUAAAGAAGCACCGGCUAACUCCGUG